GACGAACGCUGGCGGCGUGCUUAACACAUGCAAGUCGAACGGAAAGGCCCUGCUUUUGUGGGGUGCUCGAGUGGCGAACGGGUGAGUAACACGUGAGUAACCUGCCCUUGACUUUGGGAUAACUUCAGGAAACUGGGGCUAAUACCGGAUAGGAGCUCCUGCUGCAUGGUGGGGGUUGGAAAGUUUCGGCGGUUGGGGAUGGACUCGCGGCUUAUCAGCUUGUUGGUGGGGUAGUGGCUUACCAAGGCUUUGACGGGUAGCCGGCCUGAGAGGGUGACCGGCCACAUUGGGACUGAGAUCCGCCCCAGACCCCUACGGGAGGCAGCAGUGGGGAAUAUUGCACAAUGGGCGGACGCCUGAUGCAGCAACGCCGCGUGCGGGAUGACGGCCUUCGGGUUGUAAACCGCUUUCGCCUGUGACGAAGCGUGAGUGACGGUAAUGGGUAAAGAAGCACCGGCUAACUACG
rnacentral:rRNA from 1 species